rnacentral:lncRNA from 1 species
GAAAAAGGGGAGCGGUAGGGAGAUGGGCCUAGAAACAAAACAACGGCAACAAUCUGAGGAGGAAAGCUAAUUUACUAGAAAACAUAUCAGAAUACAAGAUAACAAUAAAAUUGAAAUUGAAGCUCAUAAAUGAAAUAAAAUGAGAGUAAGGGAGAGUGUUCAAAACCUGAAGGCUUUACUGUCAUGCUGAAAGUGAGACUGCUAGCUGGGACAAGCAGAAAGGAAAAGGAGAGAGGUUUUGUGAUGGCUUUACUUCUGAGAGCCAGGUACCCGGAACUAUUAACAAUCCAUGGAACUGGAUCAUUAACGCUUUAACUCCCAGUGCUCUAUGUGAUGUUAUGAUGAGGAACACUGAUACAAAACAAUUGUAAAACUAUGACAGCUGUGUAUGAAUAGGUAGCUUCUAGGCCCUAUGGACAUCUACAGCAGUGAUCAAUUCUUUUCUGCUACAGAGAUACUGAGGAUAAAAAUAAUGUGAGGUGUCUCUGAAAAUCCUGGCUCUCCCACUCAUUUUUCUUAAAUGCUGUGUGCAGAAACCAGAUGUAAUAGAGUUGGAGAAGGAAUUCUAUUAUGCCUUCACUGGUGUUUGAAACUCUCACUGCUAUGCCCAUAUUAGUACUUAAGGUCAUUUUUAGAGGUGCUGAGUUAUAUAGCAGCCUGUGUUCUUAUGGGUCUGAACAUGCCUUGUCCAAGUAUACUUUGUAAUUUUCUACUUGUAGACAACAUUUCCCUCUUUCUCCUGUUUCCAGCACAGAAUACCCUUAGGUAACUCCUUCCCUUUGUACCUUCUGCAAGGAGAAAUGAAAGCAUCGUUAGAUUGGUUUUAAUCUACAUCAUGGCCUGGUAUGGUUUACGUUGCAGAAAUGUUUGGACUACGCCAAGGGCAAACGAAUCUAGGAUGGAAUGACUGGAGCAUCUUUCUCUGCCACGGAACUUGCCCACAAGCUAGCAUGACUUUGAAGACUAGGAGACAUCUGCCAGUUGAAACAAGCUGUGAUGAUGCAAUAACAAUGAUAAAUAAACUUCCUUGAAGCUCAGUAGGCUUCUGAGCUUCUACAAUAAGUAAUUAAAAAAAGAAUAACUGAGGUUUUUAGGUGCUUUCAUCUUCCAUUUACUACUCUAGUUUUCCCUACUUCAGGCUGAAACUGUAAUAUUGCUUUUCUUCUAACUACCCUCUUUCCUAUUUUCCUUUUUCAUCCAAUUGAUAUCUAAAUAAAUUCAACUACCUAUACA